UGAUCCCGCCGGACCUGACUGCUAUCGGAUUGAUACUAAGCCAUGCGAGUCAUUGUAGCAAUACAAGGCAUACGGCUCAGUAACGCGUAGUCAACCUAACCUAUGGACGGGAAUAACCUCGGGAAACUGAGAAUAAUGCCCGAUAAAACAUUAUGCCUGGAAUGGUUUAUGUUCCAAAUGAUUUAUCGCCGUAGGAUGGGACUGCGGCCUAUCAGUUUGUUGGUGAGGUAAUGGCCCACCAAGACUAUUACAGGUACGGGCUCUGAGAGGAGUAGCCCGGAGAUGGGUACUGAGACACGGACCCAGGCCCUAUGGGGCGCAGCAGGCGAGAAAACUUUGCAAUGUGCGAAAGCACGACAAGGUUAAUCCGAGUGGUUUCUGCUAAAGGAACCUUUUGUCAGUCCUAGAAACACUGAUGAAUAAGGGGUGGGCAAGUUCUGGUGUCAGCCGCCGCGGUAAACCAGCACCUCAAGUGGUCAGGAUGAUUAUUGGGCCUAAGCAUCCGUAGCCGGCUCUGUAAGUUUUCGGUUAAAUCUGUACGCUCAACGUACAGGCUGCCGGGAAUACUGCAAAGCUAGGGAGUGGGAGAGGUAGACGGUACUCGGUAGGAAGGGGUAAAAUCCUUUGAUCUAUUGAUGACCACC
rnacentral:rRNA from 1 species